UGUAGUGUAGUGUAGUGGUUUGAGCGCUGGGCUACGACUCUGGAGAUCGGGGUUCGAAUCCCGGCUUGCAA